rnacentral:rRNA from 1 species
UUCAAUGGUCUGGAGUCACUCACCGACUGCUGUGGUGGUGAUGGGACGACCGCAAGGGCCAUCGUCAAGGCCUUCCCGCAUAUCAAGUGCAAUGUGUUGGACCUUCCAAAGGUGAUCGAGAAAGUCCCAAGUGAUGGUGUUGUUAACUAUGUCGCUGGUGACCUCUUCCAUACCGUCCCACCAGCUCAGGCCGUCAUGCUCAAGCUUGUUCUACACUUCUGGAGCGACGAGGAUUGCAUCAAGAUCCUCGCUCAAUGCAAGAAGGCCAUACCUUCCCGAGAAAUGGGAGGAAAAGUGAUCAUCAUAGACAUAGUGCUUGGAUCUUCUCUAGAGACAAUAACUGAAACCGAACUGCUGAUGGACAUGCUGAUGUUCAUAUGUACCAGAGGACGGCAACGGGAUGAAAAGGAGUGGAGCACGAUCUUUACGAAAGCAGGGUUUAGCAACUAUAAGAUUGUCAAGAAACUUGGCCAUCGAGGUGUCAUCGAGGUCUAUCCAUAA